rnacentral:rRNA from 1 species
GAUGAACGCUAGCGGCAGGCCUAAUACAUGCAAGUCGAGGGGUAGAAGAGGCUUGCUUCUUUGAGACCGGCGCACGGGUGCGUAACGCGUAUGCAACCUACCUUCAUCUGGGGGAUAGCCCGGAGAAAUCCGGAUUAAUACCGCAUAAAAUCACAGGAUGGCAUUAUCCAAUGAUCAAACAUUUAUGGGAUGGAGAUGGGCAUGCGUGUCAUUAGCUAGUUGGCGGGGUAACGGCCCACCAAGGCGACGAUGACUAGGGGAUCUGAGAGGAUGGCCCCCCAAACUGGUACAGAGACACGGACCAACCUCCUACGGGAGGCAGCAGUAAGGAAUAUUGGUCAAUGGAGGCAACUCUGAACCAGCCAUGCCGCGUGCAGGAAGACUGCCCUAUGGGUUGUAAACUGCUUUUAUUCGGGAAUAAACCUUAUUACGUGUAAUAAGCUGAAUGUACCGAAGGAAUAAGGAUCGGCUAACUCCGUGCCAGCAGCCGCCGUAA